AUGAAGGUUCUGCAGAGAGAGAGAGGGAAAUUGAUGAAGGUUGUAGUAGGUGAUGGAGAUUUUAGUGACAUGGAACAGAGAUUAGCGAGGAAGAAGUCAUCUUCGAAAAAUCCUUCUGGGCAAGUCAUGGAAUGCUGGCUUGGCGUGGUUGCAAUUAGCAAAAAGGAUAGGAAGUACAUGGAGAUCACCUUGGCAAUUUAG